rnacentral:rRNA from 1 species
GACGAACGCUGGCGGCGUGCCUAAUACAUGCAAGUCGAACGAACCGCGACUAGGUGCUUGCACUUGGUCAAGGUGAGUGGCGAACGGGUGAGUAACACGUGGGUAACCUACCUCAUAGUGGGGGAUAACAGUCGGAAACGACUGCUAAUACCGCAUAGGACAUAGGAUCACAUGAUUCUGUGAGGAAAGGUGGCGCAAGCUAUCGCUAAGAGAUGGACCCGCGGUGCAUUAGCUAGUUGGUAGGGUAAAGGCCUACCAAGGCGAUGAUGCAUAGCCGACCUGAGAGGGUGAUCGGCCACAUUGGGACUGAGACACGGCCCAAACUCCUACGGGAGGCAGCAGUAGGGAAUCUUCCGCAAUGGACGCAAGCCUGACGGAGCAACGCCGCGUGAGUGAAGAAGGUCUUCGGAUCGUAAAGCUCUGUUGUUAGAGAAGAACAGCGCAUAGAGUAACUGUUAUGCGUGUGACGGUAUCUAACCAGAAAGCCACGGCUAACUACGUG